rnacentral:rRNA from 1 species
CCUACGGGAGGCAGCAGUGAGGAAUAUUGGUCAAUGGGCGGGAGCCUGAACCAGCCAAGUCGCGUGAGGGAAGACGGUCCUAUGGAUUGUAAACCUCUUUAGGCGGGGAGCAAUGCCGGGCACGUGUGCCCGGAGGGAGAGUACCCGCAGAAUAAGCAUCGGCUAACUCCUUGCCAGCAGCCGCGGUAAUACGGAGGAUGCGAGCGUUAUCCGGAUUUAUGGGGUUUAAAGGGUGCGUAGGCGGAUUUUUAAGUCAGCGGUAAAAUGUCGGGGCUCAAACCGGGCCGGCCGUUGAAACUGGGGAUCUUGAGUGGGCGAGAAGUAGGCGGAAUGCGUGGUGUAGCGGUGAAAUGCAUGGAUAUCACGCAGAACUCCGAUUGCGAAGGCAGCAUACCGGCGCCCGACUGACGCUGAGGCACGAAAGCGUGGGGAUCGAACAGGAUUAGAUACCCCAGUAGUC